AAAGCCCCUUCGGGGUGAGUAGAGCGGCGGACGGGUGNANNUAACGCGUAGGAAUCUACCUGGUAGUGGGGGACAACUCGGGGAAACUCGAGCUAAUACCGCAUACGCCCUACGGGGGAAAGCGGGGGACCUUCGGGCCUCGCGCUAUCAGAUGAGCCUGCGUUGGAUUAGCUUGUUGGUGAGGUAAAGGCUCACCAAGGCGACGAUCCAUAGCUGGUCUGANAGGAUGAUCAGCCACACCGGGACUGAGACACGGCCCGGACUCCUACGGGAGGCAGCAGUGGGGAAUAUUGCGCAAUGGGCGGAAGCCCGACGCAGCCAUGCCGCGUGUGUGAAGAAGGCCUUCNGGGUUGUAAAGCACUUUCCCUUUGGGAAGAAAGGCUGCCGGUUAAUACCUGGGCAGCUGUGACAUUACCUU
rnacentral:rRNA from 1 species